rnacentral:rRNA from 1 species
UACGUAGGGUGCGAGCGUUAAUCGGAAUUACUGGGCGUAAAGCGUGCGCAGGCGGCUUUGCAAGACAGAUGUGAAAUCCCCGGGCUCAACCUGGGAACUGCAUUUGUGACUGCAAGGCUAGAGUACGGCAGAGGGGGAUGGAAUUCCGCGUGUAGCAGUGAAAUGCGUAGAUAUGCGUAGGAACACCAAUGGCGAAGGCAAUCCCCUGGGCCUGUACUGACGCUCAUGCACGAAAGCGUGGGGAGCAAACAGG